GACGAACGCUGGCGGCGUGCUUAACACAUGCAAGUCGAACGGAAAGGCCCUGCUUUUGUGGGGUGCUCGAGUGGCGAACGGGUGAGUAACACGUGAGUAACCUGCCCUUGACUUUGGGAUAACUUCAGGAAACUGGGGCUAAUACCGGAUAGGAGCUCCUGCUGCAUGGGGGGGUUGGAAAGUUUCGGCGGUUGGGGAUGGACCUGCGGCUUAUCAGCUUGUUGGUGGGGUAGUGGCUUACCAAGGCUUUGACGGGUAGCCGGCCUGAGAGGGUGACCGGCCACAUUGGGACUGAGAUACGGCCCAGACUCCUACGGGAGGCAGCAGUGGGGAAUAUUGCACAAUGGGCGGAAGCCUGAUGCAGCAACGCCGCGUGCGGGAUGACGGCCUUCGGGUUGUAAACCGCUUUCGCCUGUGACGAAGCGUGAGUGACGGUAAUGGGUAAAGAAGCACCGGCUAACUACGUG
rnacentral:rRNA from 1 species